CCUACGGGUGGCUGCAGUGAGGAAUAUUGGUCAAUGGGCGGGAGCCUGAACCAGCCAAGUCGCGUGAGGGAAGAAGGUACUGAGUAUUUUAAACCUCUUUUGCCAGGGGACAAAGGCGGCCACGGGUGGCCGUAAGACGGUACCUGGAGAAAAAGCAUCGGCUACCUCCGUGCCAGCGGCUGCGGUACUAGGGAGGAUGCGAGCGUUCUCCGGUUUUAUUGGGUUAAAGGGGUGCGAAGGGGGCGUGUCAAGUCAGCGGUAAAGUGUCGGGGCUCAACCCCGGCCGGCCGUUGAAACUGUCGUGCUCGAGUUGGAGAGAAGGAUGCGGAAUUCGUGGUGUAGCGGUGAAAUGCAUAGAUAUUACGAAGAACACCGAUUGCGAAGGCAGCAUACCGGCUCCACACUGACGGUGAGGCGCGAAAGCGUGGGGAUCGAACAGGAUUAGAUACCCUUGUAGUC
rnacentral:rRNA from 1 species